rnacentral:rRNA from 1 species
UACAGAGGUCUCAAGCGUUGUUCGGAUUCAUUGGGCGUAAAGGGUGCGUAGGCGGCGCGGUAAGUCGGGUGUGAAAUCUUGGAGCUUAACUCCGAAACUGCAUUCGAUACUGCCGUGCUUGAGGACUGGAGAGGAGACUGGAAUUUACGGUGUAGCGGUGAAAUGCGUAGAUAUCAGGAGGAACACCAGCGGCGAAGGCGGCACUCUGGGCUGGUACUGACGCUGAGGAGCGAAAGCGUGGGGAGCGAACAGG